CGAAUGCUGACAUAAGUAACGAUAAAGCGGGUGAAAAGCCCGCUCGCCGGAAGACCAAGGGUUCCUGUCCAACGUUAAUCGGGGCAGGGUGAGUCGACCCCUAAGGCGAGGCCGAAAGGCGUAGUCGAUGGGAAACAGGUUAAUAUUCCUGUACUUGGUGUUACUGCGAAGGGGGGACGGAGAAGGCUAUGUUGGCCGGGCGACGGUUGUCCCGGUUUAAGCGUGUAGGCUGGUUUUCCAGGCAAAUCCGGAAAAUCAAGGCUGAGGCGUGAUGACGAGGCACUACGGUGCUGAAGCAACAAAUGCCCUGCUUCCAGGAAAAGCCUCUAAGCAUCAGGUAACAUCAAAUCGUACCCCAAACCGACACAGGUGGUCAGGUAGAGAAUACCAAGGCGCUUGAGAGAACUCGGGUGAAGGAACUAGGCAAAAUGGUGCCGUAACUUCGGGAGAAGGCACGCUGAUAUGUAGGUGAAGUCCCUCGCGGAUGGAGCUGAAAUCAGUCGAAGAUACCAGCUGGCUGCAACUGUUUAUUAAAAACACAGCACUGUGCAAACACGAAAGUGGACGUAUACGGUGUGACGCCUGCCCGGUGCCGGAAGGUUAAUUGAUGGGGUUAGCGCAAGCGAAGCUCUUGAUCGAAGCCCCGGUAAACGGCGGCCGUAACUAUAACGGUCCUAAGGUAGCGAAAUUCCUUGUCGGGUAAGUUCCGACCUGCACGAAUGGCGUAAUGAUGGCCAGGCUGUCUCCACCCGAGACUCAGUGAAAUUGAACUCGCUGUGAAGAUGCAGUGUACCCGCGGCAAGACGGAAAGACCCCGUGAACCUUUACUAUAGCUUGACACUGAACAUUGAGCCUUGAUGUGUAGGAUAGGUGGGAGGCUUUGAAGUGUGGACGCCAGUCUGCAUGGAGCCGACCUUGAAAUACCACCCUUUAAUGUUUGAUGUUCUAACGUGGACCCGUAAUCCGGGUUGCGGACAGUGUCUGGUGGGUAGUUUGACUGGGGCGGUCUCCUCCUAAAGAGUAACGGAGGAGCACGAAGGUUGGCUAAUCCUGGUCGGACAUCAGGAG
rnacentral:rRNA from 1 species